ensembl:rRNA 5S_rRNA 5S ribosomal RNA
AGCAGCGGCCAUAUCACCCUGCAACUCACAACUGGCAACCCACUGAAGCUCAGCAGGUGUGAGCCUGGUCAGUACCUGGAUGGGAGACCUCCUGGGAUAAACUAAGGUUGCUGCUGGAA